UCCACCUGCUAACAGCGAAUUAUCCAUCUUCCUGCAAGGAAGACCCAGGUCAGGCCAGACCCGCCACUGACCACGCAGCCAACGCCAGCUCGGGGUGCCAAGGGCAGGAAAACGAAGGAGAAACACAACACUUUGACAUCAGAACCACAGCAUUCUCCACUUUUGGCAAAGUACGGACAGUUCAGCUCUUCUUCAUGGUCCCACAUGUUUGCUGCUGCAAACUGGAGAUUUAAUGAGGAGGGAAACGCCACUGAUGGUGCUGUCAUUCCCAGCUGCUGAUCUGAAAUCCUAUUAUUCAGCACGGAGCUGUUGCACGCGUGCGUUUGCCGCUGGCCCAACCAUCGGGAGCUGGAGAAUGGAGUCAGCAUUUCUCCUUCACUCCAGAACAGAUGUCAAGCCAACAAUGGAACGUGCAUUCCAAACGUGUUACAAAAUUCAACCUGUCAACCAACUCAAUGCAAUUUAGAGCUAAUUUGUAUCUAAUUCAAAUUUAAGUAAGAUUUUCAAUAAAAAUGGAGGCAUUUGAUUCUA